UCACGAAGUAGUUUUGAGCUAAAUAUAUUUAUAAUAUUAGUUAUUUAUGAAGGUGUUGUAAAACCUUUAUUUAAAAUUAUAUUUAGGGGUGAUAGGCCUUUCAAAAACUAAGAUAUCUUGAAUCUAAUUAAAAGUAUGUAGUACAAUUAACACAACUAUUAAGUGAUUAGGCUUUAUAGAAUUAUUAACCUAUAAGAUUUUAUUUACUAUAAUUUAAUAAUUAAGUACAUAAAUAUAUUAAUAUACAUAUAUUAUAGUUUAUAAAAGAGUAAUUAGAUAGAUUUAAGUUCAUAUUUCUUAUAAUAAUGUUAAUAUUAGUAUUAAGAUUAUAUUUAUAUGAUGAACUCGGCAAAAAUACUUCUCAACUGUUUAUCAAAAACAUAACUAUGUGAAUGAAUACAUAGCGGUUUCUGCUCAAUGAUUAAUUUAAAUAGCCGCAGUAUACUGACUGUGCAAAGGUAGCAUAAUCAAUUGACUUAUAAUUGAAGUCUAGAAUGAAUGAAAUGAUGGGAAGCUACUAUAUUUUGUAAAUAUAUAUAAUUUAUUUAUGAAGUGAAAAUACUUCUAUAAAUAUAAUAGACGAGAAGACCCUAGAAAUUUUUAAUAAUUAAAAUUAUAUUUGAGAAAUUUUUUGUUGGGGCGACAAAGUAGCAUAUUAACCUACUUAAAUUAAACUUGCACUUUUUUAAUUGUUUGAAAAAAUUACUCUAGGGAUAACAGCAUAAUAUUUAAAAGUUUAUGACCUCGAUGUUGGAUUAGGAAAUAAUAACUUAAAAGGUUUUUUAUAUUGCUCUGUUCGAGCAUUAACUCCUACAUGAUC
rnacentral:rRNA from 1 species